UGCUCUAAUAAUCCGCAAAAAGCGGCAAUCAAUGUAGGAAAAAACGAAUAUGGAUGGCCUUGUUAGAAAACAACCUGAUAUUUUGAGGCUUUGUGUAUGAAUGAAACUCCACCACGGAUGCUACUGUACGCAUGUGCAGUACUUCGACGUCUCAAGCGCGCGAUGGAGACAACACUCACAUGAGUGCUAUACGGAAUCAUUGGGAUGUCGCUACCCCAAACCCUAGGAUUCCGGAUAGCACGGACCCUUCUGUGGCCACAUCCUUUUAUUAUAAGCCAGUGGCUACAUCGAGCUGAGGGGAGAAUCAUAGUACUUAGGCUAUGAAAAAUGUUUGAAAGCAAAGAGAAACGGCCCAAUAGUCGAGGAGCUGGACAAGGACGACAAAAUAUUCCCCCUUUCAGCUCAGCCAGCAGUUGUGGAGAUAACCUGUGUAAGCCCAGCUACAAUAGCUCCUGGAGUAAUAUCAUCCACUCCUGGACUGAUGAGACCUAUUACAGUGGAAACUACACCAACCACCCCUACAAGUCAUGAUGCACCUCUGGAGACUGUCCUGGUGCCUGCGAUAGCAGACCGUGCACCAGCCCCUGCCUCUAUGCUAAUAAGUACACCAACUGUGCUGACACGGCCAAGCAGCCAGGGCUGCAGCAACAGUCAUGUCACCUCCUGGUGUCCUGUCUCCUGCAGGACUCAUCAGACGGUCUGAUCAGCCAGAGACAUGUUCUGACCAAUCAUCCUGAUAGACAACAACAAUCAUCCUGAUAGACAACAACAAUCAUCCUGAUAGACAACAAAAAUCAUCCUGAUAGACAACAACAAUCAUCCUGAUAGACAACAACAAUCAUCCUGAUAGACAACAACAAUCUCCUAAUAAACCUGGUCAUGACUAAGGUGUCCUCCAUCCUGCAAUAAAUAAUCAUCCUUUGGUUAAGUUGUAAAAUGCAAUUAAGGGACAAUACUUACUCUUUCCCUUUCAGGUUUGUGGCUGCUUCUCUGCCAGUCGUAUAAUGAAAGCAAUUUCUAAACUGUUCUCAGGUGACGUAGGGCAAAGAACCUAUGGUAAAUUCUCCCCUGGCACCCAAUGAUCUUGGCAAAACAGUACGCACAGGGACAAAACUGAUGACUUCAUCUGAGGUGUUAGGUGAGGGGGAGGGAUGAACCAACUGAUAGAGGUCUACUUUUGGUAGGGUCCAACAAGGAAAAGUAAAACUUCACAUACAAUGGAGCCACCCCAACAGAGCCCAACGUCAGAAAGGAUGACCCCCGGGGGCCUCCCAGGUUGCGCAGUGGUUAAGGGCGCUGUACUGCAGCGCCAGCUGUGCCACCAGAGACUCUGGGUUCGCGCCCAGGCUCUGUCAUAACCGGUUGCGACCGGGAGGUCCGUGGGGCGUCGCACAAUUGGCCUAGUGUCGUCCGGGUUAGGGAGGGAUUGGCCGGUAGGGAUAUCCUUGUCUCAUCGUGCACCAGCGACUCCUGUGGCGGGCCGGGUGCAGUGCUCGCUAACCAAGGUUGCCAGGUGCACGGUGUUUCCUCCGACACAUUGGUCCUGCUGGCUUCCGGGUUGGAUGCGUGCUGUGUUAAGAAGCAGUGCGGCUUGGUUGGGUUGUGUAUCGGAGGACGCAUGACUUUCAACCUUCGUCUCUCCCGAGCCGUACGGGAGUUGUAGCGAUGAGACAAGAUAGUAGCUACUAAACAAUUGGAUACCACGAAAUUGGGGAGAAAACGGGGUAAAAUUCAACAACAAAAAAAGAAAAAGAUAGGAUGACCCCUCUCUAUUCACACCCUUUGGCGCAUCCCAUCAGUCUGGGCUUAACACAGUAGGACCGGAAGCAACCGCUUGGUUCAGGGACUUUGCAUCCGCUAAAUAAAAGAACAAACAUCUGGAACUUUCCACAAUGUUUACCUUCUGACUCAAAGUCAGAUGAAAUUUAACAAGGUAUAUUAGUUUGAACAUUUCUGCAAAGUAGGUAUAAAUGUGUCAGUGGAACUUUGAAGAAAAAUAUAUAUUUACUAGUCGUCAUCUGGUUUUCAAUGUUUACUUUCCACCCUCUUCUUGUAAAACUACAUGACUCCCUUCCCAGUGAAAACAAGGCAAAGCAGACUAGAUUAAUGUAAUUGACAGUGAAGUGCAGGAUACGAGGAGUAACAUAGGAAGUGGCUCAGUAACACAGGAAGCUGGAGAGAGGACUUCCUGUCUGCUGAGGUGAGGACUUAAUUGAGACCUUGGCAUUCAGAGCUCUCACGUAACUCCUCAAGGUCAGAACUCUUCAAGUGAGGAGCUUGGCCGCAGAUGUUUGAAGUUUGAAGUAGACAGAAUCCA
rnacentral:lncRNA from 1 species